rnacentral:rRNA from 1 species
CCAGCAGCCGCGGUAAUUCCAGCUCCAAUAGCGUAUAUUAAAGUUGUUGCAGUUAGAACGCUCGUAGUCGGAUUUCGGGGCGAGCCUUCCGGUCUGCCGAUGGGUAUGCACUGGUAGGGUCGUCCUUCCUUCCGGAGACCGUUCCUACUCUUAACUGAGCGGGGUCGGGAGACGGAAUUUUUACUUUGAAAAAAUCAGAGUGUUUCAAGCAGGCAGCUCGCUCUUGCAUGGAUUAGCAUGGGAUAAUGAAAUAGGACUUUGGUGCUAUUUUGUUGGUUUCGAACACCGAAGUAAUGAUGAGAAGGGACAGUCAGGGGCACUCGUAUUCCGCCGAGAGAGGUGAAAUUCUCAGACCAGCGGAAGACGAACCACUGCGAAAGCAUUUGCCAGGGAUGUUUUCACCGAUCAAGAACGAAAGUUAGGGGAUCGAAGACGAUCAGAUACCGUCGUAGUCUUAACCAUAAACCAUGCCGACUAGGGAUUGGGGGAUGUUCACUGAUUGACUUCCUCAGCACCUUACGGGAAACUAAAGUCUUUGGGUUCCGGGGGGAGUAUGGUCGCAAGGCUGAAACUUAAAGGAAUUGACGGAAGGGCACCACCAGGUGUGGAGCCUGCGGCUUAAUUUGACUCAACACGGGGAAACUUACCAGGUCCAGACAUUGUGAGGAUUGACAGAUUGAGAGCUCUUUCUUGAUUCGAUGGGUGGUGGUGCAUGGCCGUUCUUAGUUGGUGGAGUGAUUUGUCUGGUUAAUUCCGUUAACGAACGAGACCUUAGCCUGCUAAAUAGUGACGCGAACACUUCGUUCGUGGGCCACUUCUUAGAGGGACAACUUGUCUUCAACAAGUGGAAGUUUGAGGCAAUAACAGGUCUGUGAUGCCCAAGGGC